UUUGUCUUUUAGGAAUUUACUAAGUGAAACUAUUCCAUUCUCUGGAUUUCCGGCCUUCUCUCAGCUCGAUCACCCAUGUCGAGGGGUUUACAACUUUAGGCUUUGUUUAUUUUAUAAUACGAGCGUACACGCAGAUGGUUUAAACUCCGCUCUUAAUUUAUAGCCAUCGAUACAAAAGAUCCUCGAAGAACAUUCGAGACAUAUCGAUACAAUAGUCUAUUCGAUAAAUAUUCCCAUGUCAAUGUCGCCAUACCAUUCUAGACAUAUUCACGUGAUAAACGUUUCACGUUACACCUUCCCCCUUAUACAAAAGGUGUUUACAUAAAACAGCUUUUUCAUUCAAAACAUUGCUCCUUAAUAACGUGAAAGUAGGUCUGUAUCAACUAAUUCAUUCCAAAGUCACGCGUCGUACAACUUCAAUAGUCCAUUCAAUAGUUCGUAAUUUCGCACCCAGCAUAAUCCGUAUAUGUAAACAUACAACAAAUAAUAAUUCUCCCAUCUAUUAUCAAUCGUCUCUGGUGUAUUCAUAAGCCAUAAUAUUAAUAGAGUAUAAUCGCAAGUUUACAAGGCAACAACGAUCUAAUUCAGUCUUCGGUAAUAUCAUCUAGCCGUAUACACGCCAAUUUUAGUUUGUUGAUUUCGCGCAGCCAUAGUCUGUGUGGUGGUGAUUUUAUUGAAAAGCUCCUCAAAAUGCUGUGCAAAAGUUCGAGGCGUUUGUCCCUUGGCAAAUUCAGAAGAGAACCCAACGACUGAGGAUGAAAAGCCGUGGAUGUUAUUCGCUGUAUUUUGAAAAAUCCUGCAGAAAUUCUUCA